UACGUAGGGGGCAAGCGUUGUCCGGAUUUAUUGGGCGUAAAGAGCGUGUAGGCGGCCAGGGAGGUCCGUUGUGAAAACUCGAGGCUCAACCUCGAGACGCCGAUGGAAACCCCCUGGCUAGAGUCCGGAAGAGGAGAGUGGAAUUCCUGGUGUAGCGGUGAAAUGCGUAGAUAUCAGGAGGAACACCGGUGGUGUAGACGGCUUACUGGACCACGACUGACACUGAGGCACGAAAGCGUGGGUAGCAAACAGG
rnacentral:rRNA from 1 species